CCUACGGGAGGCAGCAGUGGGGAAUAUUGCGCAAUGGGCGAAAGCCUGACGCAGCGACGCCGCGUGAGGGAUGAAGGUCUUCGGAUCGUAAACCUCUGUCAGCAGGGAAGAACGGUCACUGUGCUAAUCAGCAGUGAAUUGACGGUACCUGCAAAGGAAGCACCGGCUAACUCCGUGCCAGCAGCCGCGGUAAUACGGAGGGUGCGAGCGUUAAUCGGAAUUACUGGGCGUAAAGCGCUCGUAGGCGGUAUGUCAAGUCAAGGGUGAAAUCCCCGCGCUCAACGUGGGAACUGCCUUUGAAACUGGCAAGCUUGAGUCUCGUAGAGGGGGGUAGAAUUCCAGGUGUAGCGGUGAAAUGCGUAGAGAUCUGGAGGAAUACCGGUGGCGAAGGCGGCCCCCUGGACGAAGACUGACGCUCAGGUGCGAAAGCGUGGGGAGCAAACAGGAUUAGAUACCCCGGUAGUC
rnacentral:rRNA from 1 species